rnacentral:lncRNA from 1 species
AUGAAUUUUUCUGACGUUGAGAAAACUAAGAGACUUGCCAACCUUGUUAUGGUUGUUCUGACUUCUAAAAGGAGAGAGCUUGACCUAUCAGGACCAAAACCUUCAAAUCCAAAGAGAGUCAAAGAACUGGGCAAUUUAGCCAUGUUUUCUAUGAAAUCUUCUCCCAAAUAA